rnacentral:rRNA from 1 species
CGCGCAGGCGGCUGGGCAAGUCCGAUGUGAAAGCUUCCGGCUUAACUGGAAAAUUGCAUCGGAAACUGCUCGGCUUGAAGGUGGGAGAGGGUAGCGGAAUUCCCGGUGUAGUGGUGAAAUGCGUAGAUAUCGGGAGGAACACCAGUGGCGAAGGCGGCUACCUGGCCCACUCUUGACGCUGAGGCGCGAAAGCUAGGGGAGCAAACGG